CCCUUAUUACAGCAGCAGCAGCAGCAGCAGCAGCAGCAGCAGCAGCAGCAGCAGCAGCAGCAGCAGGAGCAGCAGCAGCCAAGGUU
rnacentral:miRNA from 14 species